rnacentral:rRNA from 1 species
AGAGAGAGACAUGCGCGCAUAUCAAUAAGCGGAGGAAAAGAAACUAACUAGGAUUCCCUCAGUAACGGCGAGUGAAGCGGGAAGAGCUCAAAUUUGAAAUCUUCAAGGUUUUACCUUGACGAAUUGUAGUUUAAAGAAGUGUUUUCUGUUGGAGUUUUGGUAAAAGUUCUUUGGAAUAGGACAUCAUAGAGGGUGAGAAUCCCGUAUUUGACCAUUAUUUCCAGCUUUGUGAUACACUUUCAAAGAGUCGGAUUGUUUGGGAAUGCAGUCCAAAAUGGGUGGUAAAUUUCAUCUAAAGCUAAAUAUUGGCGAGAGACCGAUAGCGAACAAGUACCGUGAGGGAAAGAUGAAAAGAACUUUGAAAAGAGAGUUAAACAGUACGUGAAAUUGUCAAAAGGGAAGCGUUUGACACCAGUGUUGUUUUCUCGAAAAUCAAUUAAAAAAGGCAGGAUUUUGUGUUGUAUUGACUUUAUCAGCUUUCUGCACUCUUUUCUUGUCUUUUUUUAAUGCACUUUUCGUUUAACAAGUCAACAUCAAUUUCUUUUGUUGUAAAAAGGGUCAUUGGAAGGUGGCUUUCUUUUCGGAGAAAGUGUUUAUAGCCUUUGGCCUCUGCAAUCGGAGAGAUUGAGGUCUGCAGCGUAGAUCCUUCGGGGUUAGAUACAUUUGUGCUAAGUUAUAGCCUUUCAUAGACAACUUGUUGACUAUGAUCAGUCAUGUAGCUUACUCGCUUAUGCUAUUUUACCUACGCUUAGGAUGUUGAUGUGAUACUGCGAGCA